rnacentral:misc_RNA from 1 species
AACGCACAUUGCGCCCCCUGGUAUUCCGAGGGGCAUGCCUGUUCGAGCGUCAUUAUACCUCUCAAGCCCAGCUUGGUGUUAGGUUCCGCUAUUCUAGCGAGCCUUAAAACUAAAGGCGGCGCCUCCAGGCUCUGAGCGUAGUAAAUUAUAUUCGCUACGGAGUCCUGGAUGGUGGUGGCCCCAACUCCCCAACUUUCUUAGUUUGACCUCGGAUCAGGUAGGGAUACCCGCUGAACUUAA